rnacentral:rRNA from 1 species
CCUACGGGAGGCAGCAGUGAGGAAUAUUGGACAAUGGGCGCGAGCCUGAUCCAGCCAUGUAGCGUGAAGGAUGAAGGCCCUACGGGUUGAAAGCUUCUUCUAUAGAGGGAUAAGGUGCGACACGUGUGCCUUUUUGUAUGUACUUUAUGGAUAAGGGUCGGAUAACCCCGUUCCAGCAGCCGCGGUAAUACGGAGGAGCCGGGCGUUGUCCGGAUUGAUUGGGUUUAAAGGAAGCGUAGAUGGGUUGUUAAGUCAGUUGUGAAAGUUUGCGGCUCAACCGUAAAAUUGCAAUUGAUACUGGCAGCCUUGAGUACAGUUGAGGUAGGCGGAAUUCGUGGUGUAGCGGUGAAAUGCGUAGAUAUCACGAAGAACGCCGAUGGCGAAGGCAGCCUACUAAACUGAGACUGACAUUGAUGCUCGAAAGUGUGGGGAUCAAACAGGAUUAGAUACCCGGGUAGUC